rnacentral:rRNA from 1 species
GACGAACGCUGGCGGCGUGCUUAACACAUGCAAGUCGAACGAAGUGGCGAACGGGUGAGUAAUACGUGGGUAACCUGCCCUCCUUUUUGGGAUAAGCCUUGGAAACGGGGUCUAAUACCGGAUAAAGGGGGAGGGGCGCGCGGCCUAUCAGCGUGUUGGGGGGGUGAUGGCCGACCAAGGCGGUGACGGGUAGCCGGCCUGAGAGGGUGACCGGCAACAUAGGGACGGACAUGACGCCCAGAGUACUCAGGGAUGGAGAAGUGUGGGCAAUUGGACAAUGGGUGAAAGACUGAUGCAGCGUCUCCACGUGGGGGAUGAAGGCUUUCGGGUUGUAUAAGUCUUUCGCUAUCGAACGGGUAGGUGGAGAAUAAGCGCCGGCUAACUACGUGCCAGCAGCCGCGGUAAUUC